rnacentral:rRNA from 1 species
GCAAGUCGAACGGUAACAGAGGAGCUUGCUCCUGCUGACGAGUGGCGCACGGGUGAGUAAUGCAUAGGUAACGUGCCCCUUAGUCUGGGAUAGCCACUGGAAACGGUGAUUAAUACUAGAUACGCCUUCUCUGUUAAUUAGAGUUGGGAAAGUUUUUCGCUAAGGGAUCGGCCUAUGUUGUAUCAGGUAGUUGGUGAGGUAAUGGCUCACCAAGCCUAUGACACAUAGCGGGUCUGAGAGGAUGAUC